AAGGGAAUAUUAGUAUCAGAGAUGAUGCUAGGACAGAAGGGCAAACAGCAUAGCCUGAAGCACCCACAAAGUACAGCCUAGUUCCAGUAACAAGACCGCUUUUUAUAAGUGGUUCACAAUGGCAACACUAUUUCCUUAUAAUCAAGUCAUGUAAGUUAUCUUUUCCCCACAGUAAAAAUUGGCACUUGAGCUUUUUCUCCAUAGCCCCUUUCUAUUUUUAAAUCAUUAAUUUUACAUCAUACCAAGAAUAAUCUACAAUAACUUUUUUAGCCAUUGAAUAUUGAAUUCCCCUUAUCCUUGAUCUUUCAUUUAAUCCUUAGAAAAUAUCGCAAAAUACAGCUCUAAUCCUUGAUUACAGUUCAGAGAGAUAUGUCUGGCACAAUGGGUUUCAAUGAAUUUAAAGAACUCUGGGCUGUACUGAAUGGCUGGAGACAACACUUUAUCAGUUUUGACACUGACAGGAGUGGAACAGUAGAUCCACAAGAAUUGCAGAAGGCCCUGACAACAAUGGGAUUUAGGUUGAGUCCCCAGGCUGUGAAUUCAAUUGCAAAACGAUACAGCACCAAUGGAAAGAUCACCUUCGACGACUACAUCGCCUGCUGCGUCAAACUGAGGGCUCUUACAGACAGCUUUCGAAGACGGGAUACUGCUCAGCAAGGUGUUGUGAAUUUCCCAUAUGAUGAUUUCAUUCAAUGUGUCAUGAGUGUUUAAAUCAAGAGGAAGCUGCAUGAAUGUAAUCAACAUUCCAACUGGAGCUCUCCUUUGCUUGUCCUCUUUGCCUUCGGUAAUAUGUAUAAACUUACAUCACGACUUUCUCUCAACAGCUGUUGUAAAGUUUAUUACUUUAUGUACAACUGAAGUUUUGUGUUAGUUUUGAUAAUAAAUUCUUUGGAACUUUAAUAA
rnacentral:sRNA from 1 species